AUGUAAUUAUGUAACAGUCACGUGACCUGUUAUGGAACUUCCAAUGGCAACUAAAAGCACAUGCAGCUAGUGGAUUUCAUCGGAGUGUUUGAGGUUCCCGUCUUGAAUGUGACUGUCGGAACUACUGUCCGGGGGGGUGGUGCAUUUUUCUGAGUUUAAGCAGGAGUCGGGAGUCCCCAAAAGGGAACACAAGACACCUUGAUCCUGGCAUAUCUUGUGUGCCCUCUGUGGGCCUCAGUUUGUUUCACAGGAUUGAAAACCUGGGAAGUUAGAUGCUCAUCUCAUCUGAAGAAGUUGUUCUGCCUUUGUUAAGGUGGAGCGGGAAUAGUCAGCACUGGGACAUGAGAAUGGACAGUCGCCUGGACCCACCUAGGGAUUCACCAUUUGCUAAAUGUGUGAGCUGUGGGCUCGGCCCUGGGGGCACUUUAGGAACAUGACUAGUCUUCCCCUGCAGUGUGGAGGACACAUGUGCCACAGAGCCCAGCUUUGUGCUCGGUGCCAGAGAGGCUUCCGGAGGCAGGCAGGGCUGCGUGCAGCCUGGAAGGAUGAGCCAGGCCAGGCGGGAAACGGAAGUCCAGGUAGAAGGGAGGAGCCGAAUUGGGGUACACUCCAUAUGGGCUCAGGCAGGUCAGCCUGUGGAAUGAAUAGAGGCCAACAUGCAGGCCAGCCCGGAAUGCGGCAGGAGUGACAGUGGCUUUCCGUUUCUGGGAAUUCUGCCAGUACCUACAGUGGUGCCUUUUGACUUGGCUUACCUUUUUUCUCGACAUGCAGGCAGCGUCUAUCCCAGACUACCGGGGCCCUAAUGGAGUGUGGACACUGCUUCAGAAAGGGAGAAGCGUUAGGUAAGCGGGCCAGGCAUGGCCUCCCACAUAGGCUGGGCAGCGGCAGCACGGGCCUGAGCUCCAGCUCUCCUCACCUUGCCUUCCUUUCUGCCUGGCAGUGCUGCCGACCUGAGCGAGGCCGAGCCAACCCUCACCCACAUGAGCAUCACCCGUCUGCAUGAGCAGAAGCUGGUGCAGCAUGUGGUGUCUCAGAACUGUGACGGGCUCCACCUGAGGAGUGGGCUGCCGCGCACGGCCAUCUCCGAGCUCCACGGGAACAUGUACAUUGAAGUGAGCAGUCCUGCAGGGACCCAGGGUCUCCAUGGGCAGGCGGGUCCCACUCACUGUGCCCUCUUGCCUCUAGGUCUGUACCUCCUGCGUUCCCAACAGGGAGUACGUGCGGGUGUUCGAUGUGACGGAGCGCACUGCCCUCCACAGACACCAGACAGGCCGGACCUGCCACAAGUGUGGGACCCAGCUGCGGGACACCAUUGUGCACUUUGGGGAGAGGGGGACGUUGGGGCAGCCUUUGAACUGGGAAGCGGCGACCGAGGCUGCCAGCAGAGCAGACACCAUCCUGUGUCUAGGGUCCAGCCUGAAGGUUCUAAAGAAGUACCCACGCCUCUGGUGCAUGACCAAGCCCCCUAGCCGGCGGCCGAAGCUUUACAUCGUGAACCUGCAGUGGACCCCGAAGGAUGACUGGGCUGCCCUGAAGCUACAUGGGAAGUGUGAUGACGUCAUGCGGCUCCUCAUGGCCGAGCUGGGCUUGGAGAUCCCCGCCUAUAGCAGGUGAGUGAGCCGCUGCAGCAGCCUGCUUCCCCGCACCUCUGUGUGCUGGGCCUUGUCUGUCUUCUCUCGUGAGCUGAGUGUGGAGGAAGCUCUGAGGUGUUUGCAGUGGUGCCUGAGGCAUGACUGAAGCGUGGUGGUCUCCAGAGGGCCUGACCUCGGUGGUUGGCGGAGACCCUGCGUGUGCCACUCCUGCCCUGGCUGAUGUGGCACACACAAUCCCCGCGGGGAGAGGGAUUCUGCCCGCGUGCUCCUGCUCCAGGCCUCCCCGUGGAGCUCUCCGAGAUGCCUGGUGGGAAGCAUCUGGAGGGGACGAGCACUCGGCAGCUCUGGUCAGACAGAAUCUGUGUGCUUGGUUUUGGGAGUUGGCGUACUUUGGGAAAGCUUAAACAAACUGUGCCUUAAUACAGAAUUUGUGAUAAUUUAGACUUGGUGUAUGUAUUGAGUAAAAAGUUUACACUCUCUUUCUCUGUGAAUUUUCAGGGUCUUAUAGGGGAAAUCAAUAACUUCUUUUAAUCAAAGGGUUCAAGAAAUUAAGGAUCCCUUCACCUUCUGGGCCUGGCACUUCUUGUAUGUUAUGUGUGUGGUGUUCUGUGAUGUGGGCUAUCGUGUACUGUAUUUUUUUUUUACAUUAACUUAGCUCAUUUUCCUUAUCAGUGCGUAUCUGUAUCUUAAGUUAUGAUCUGUGGUUCUGCAUCUCCGUCAGACACAUGCUUUCUUCACGGGGUCGUCUGUAGGCCACGCCUCCCUAGUCAGCUGGGAAGGGGGAGAGGGUCUGGUCCACCUGCCCCAGCGGUACAAGUGGAAGGUGGGGCCCAGAGUUGCUAGUGACUCAUCCCUGGAGACGGAGGCAGCCCUGGGGCCACUGCUGCCCCACCCUGUGUGUGCACGCCGCUCAGUGGUGGACAAGGACACGGAGUUUUGAGGAGACCGAGCUAGUGUGGGUGCCGACCUUUGAGUCACCACCUAAGAGGUGACCUCUCCCACAUCCGUUCUGCAGCUUGGUAACAAUGAAGCUGCCGCCAACCAGAGCCCCGCCGCAGUUGACACGGGAGGGAAGGGGAUGGGAAGGCAGGGACCGCAGACAGCUUUCCCGAGCUGGGGCAGGUGUGACUGCGAGAGGCUCCCAGGCCCGCCUGAUGCCGCUUUCCCUUUUUGGCAGGUGGCAGGAUCCCAUUUUCUCACUGGCGACUCCCCUGCGUGCUGGUGAAGAAGGCAGCCACAGUCGGAAGUCGCUGUGCAGAAGCAGAGAGGAGGCCCCGCCUGGGGACCGGGGUGCACCGCUUAGCUCGGCCCCCAUCCUAGGGGGCUGGUUUGGCAGGGGCUGCACAAAACGCACAAAAAGGAAGAAAGUGACGUAAUCACGUGCUCGAUGAAGAACAGUUGGCACUUUGCAGAUGGCCAGUGUCACGGUGAAGGCUGGGUUGCCCCCACGGGUCUAGGGAGAACGAACUCUUUGGGGAUGACAUUUUCACCGUGACAUUUUUAGCCAUUUGUCCUUGAGGAAGCCCCUUGCACUGCUGCGGUUGUACCCUGAUACGGCCUGGCCAUCGAGGACACCUGCCCAUCCGGCCUCUGUGUCAAGAGGUGGCAGCCGCACCUUUCUGUGAGAACGGAACUCGGGUUAUUUCAGCCCCGGCCUGCAGAGUGGAAGCGCCCAGCGGCCUUUCCUCGCUCACCAGGCCAGUCUCAGGGCCUCACCGUAUUUCUACUACUACUUAAUGAAAAAGUGUGAACUUUAUAGAAUCCUCUCUGUACUGGAUGUGCGGCAGAGGGGUGGCUCCGAGCCUCGGCUCUAUGCAGACCUUUUUAUUUCUAUUAAACGUUUCUGCACUGGC
rnacentral:lncRNA from 1 species